rnacentral:rRNA from 1 species
GACGAACGCUGGCGGCGUGCCUAAUACAUGCAAGUAGGACGCAGUUGCGAACGGGGGAGUAACGCGUAGGUAACUACCUAUUAGAGGGGGAUAACUAUUGGAAACGAUAGCUAAUACCGAAUACUAGUAGAUGGACCUGCGUUGUAUUGGGUAGUAGGUAGGGUAAUGGCCGACCUAGGCAACGAUACAUAGCCGUCCGUAGAGUGGGAUCGGCGCAACUUGGACGUGUACACGGCACAGACUCCUACGGUAGUCAGCAGUAUGUAAUCUUCGUCAAUGGGGGGAACUCUGACCGCGCAACGCCGCGUGAGUGAAGAAGGUUUUCGGAUCGUAAAGCUCUGUUGUUAAGUAAGCGUUACUUAACCAGAAAGGGACGGCUAACUACGUGCCAGCAGCCGCGGUAAUAC